AAAAGUUCGUUCGGGUUUUUUGUUUACAGCUCACUAGAAAAACCCAAAUGAACUCUUUG
rnacentral:pre_miRNA from 1 species